rnacentral:rRNA from 1 species
GAUGAACGCUGGCGGCGUGCCUAAUACAUGCAAGUCGAGCGAACAGACGAGGAGCUUGCUCCUCUGAUGUUAGCGGCGGACGGGUGAGUAACACGUGGAUAACCUACCUAUAAGACUGGGAUAACUUCGGGAAACCGGAGCUAAUACCGGAUAACAUGUUGAACCGCAUGGUUCAACAGUGAAAGACGGUCUUGCUGUCACUUAUAGAUGGAUCCGCGCCGCAUUAGCUAGUUGGUAAGGUAACGGCUUACCAAGGCAACGAUGCGUAGCCGACCUGAGAGGGGGAUCGGCCACACUGGAACUGAGACACGGUCCAGACUCCUACGGGAGGCAGCAGUAGGGAAUCUUCCGCAAUGGGCGAAAGCCUGACGGAGCAACGCCGCGUGAGUGAAGAAGGUCUUCGGAUCGUAAAACUCUGUUAUUAGGGAAGAACAAAUGUGUAAGUAACUAUGCACGUCUUGACGGUACCUAAUCAGAAAGCCACGGCUAACUACGU